ACCUUCCAAGUGUCUAUACUGUGCCAGGCACGCAGUUUCACAGAUGAACCAGACGGCCCUGGCUUUCAGGACUCCUGUAGUCUCCCUUUUCCUCAGUCUCCCCUAAGAGGAACACUGGCCAGGUGGUUGAGCUUCCUGGGAAUCCAUCUGCCAUCUGUCAGCUCAGGAAGGCCAGACAGGCACCUCGGAGGUGCCUUCAGCUGCUACCAGGAUACCACUCCUCAGAAUAGCUGGAGUGUGGCCAGCCUCUGCCUUUACUUUGCAAAGAGCUCCAGGAAUGUAAGGCUUCGGUUCCUUCCCCCAGCCUUUACCAUCACAGCACCGGAGGACCCACACCAAGGCCUGGGGCCAGAGGCUCUCCUGGGACCCUCUCUGCUCUCCCUGCCCACCACGCUGGCUUCUCCCCACACUGUGCUCCCGCUCCUGGAUGAAGCCCCGAAAGGUCUGGGUCUCCAUGAAAACCUCCAGGAAGCGGCGGAGGCUCU